UUUUUAUAUUCUAUCCCACUAUAUUACGAAAACCGACUUUGGUUCACAUUGACAAUAUAUUAGGUGAUAUCAUGAUACUAUUAAGAUAGUUUAGUAAUUUUUCAUCCGUAUUUGGGUCAACUUUAUUUAUCAGUAUAAGGUCGGGCGAGUGGGCGUAGGCCCGCGGCACCGAAGUAUGUGUGUGAUCAGCGCCUAUUGGCCGGGAGUCUAUGACGUCGGGGGCUUAGGUGCGAAUGAUGCAGAUAGGGCGUCUAUUAGGCAUAAAUAUGCGGGGUCCCUUGAUACGGGAGCGUAUGACCUCCGACCCAGACGUUAGCCACACUAUUCUAAGAUAGUAAACGCGUCGUAGCAGCUGGAAGAAAAAACAACAACAACAACAACGAUCCGUCCUGCACAACUAUGCCGACUGACUGUAAGUAUUCAUAUGAGUGUAUUAUGAUUAUAUUAUGACUAUGUCUAUGUGAAUCAGCUGUUUAUAUCUGACCGAAGCAGCGAUUACUUUACAGCGAUUCGCGGUGCCGGCGGUGAGAGCGUGAAACAGCAGCAGGGUCCACGUGGAAGUUUGCAGGAUAUUCGGCUCAACAGACCGAUUCUAGCAGACCAGACUAAUGUGCUGACAAGCGGUAGUUUUGUACCUAUCGAGGCCAAUGUCAUUCAGCGAACCCCCGGAGCAAAUCGGCUGUCCAAGAAGAAUUUGAAAAGAUCGGCGGGAAUAGGCGGGGCUAUACCCUGCUCACCACUGGCCAUAGAACAGCUACAAAUUCCUUAUAAAAAGGCCCGCAAGGACGCCACCCACGGUGGUCUAGCUCCGGAGAAUAUUACCCAGGUUAUUCAGGCCGUUAUAAACCCGCAAAUUGCGCCACAUGGAGCGGCAUGGACUGAUUCCAACCGCCGUGUGAUCGGGGACGUGGAGGUGCAUGUGUCGGCGUCGCCUACAGAGACCGUCGCCGUGCAACCGGAUGGGACUAUACAACACGUCUAUGGAGAUCCCCAGUGCGCGCCACCAGCAGGGCUGACCGUCAAUGAUUGGGCUGGUCUUGACGACAUCCUGGACGCGUCCUGGAAUUCAUCGCUGCUGGAACAUAGCGACUUCACUCCAGCUCUGUGGGUCGACUCUCCAGCUACAUCCGUAGAGGCUACCACCAGUGCAGAGCCUGUACAACACCACCAGCCUGCAGGUCCUGCAUCUGGAUCCCUACACGCCAUUCAAGCCCCUAUCUGCGACUCUCCGUGUAUCGUGAGUCCCAUCGCUCAUGAGGUAGCGGUGCUGCGGCUACCAGCCGGUCCCGCAAUUGCUGAUGGUGAAUACUGGGCUGUGCCGCAAGAUGCUAAAUGGCGUAAAGAAUUUGCUGAUAAAUUAGCCGUGUUAACUGCAACGGUGGCUGUAAACUCCUCAGCCAUUGAUCGUCAGAGUAAACGUGGUGACAGUAGAUAUCAGGCUCUCGAAGAGCAGACGAAGCAGUCCUUCAUCGCUAUCAGGCUCGAAAAUGCGCGUGAUCGUAUGACUGCUGGAUCCCCAAACACUGAGACCAGUAAUGGACGUGCAAUUGUGGUCCUUCAACGUAAGCAUUUGGCGGCCGCGGCAGCUGUGCGAGGCAACACGCAGGGCAUAGCGAGAAUUAGCUCAGAAGAGGUGUUAAGAGCUUCUAAAACCGCUCGAAAAUUAUGGUUAAUGGAAUCUACUUGCAAAGCUAACCUCGAUGCCUUUGGGGCAAUGUGUACCGAGAUGUCUGUGAUGAGUGACACACUAGCAAAGCUUACGGUGAAUGCUAUUAUUUGAUUUGUGUUUUUGUUUUUUUCUUUUAUCUCGUGGAGAGGGUAUUUUUUGUUUUAAACUGCA
ensembl:lncRNA